ensembl:lncRNA
UGAAGGGCUUGGAAAAUCAGCCCUAUGAGGAGAGGCUGAGGGAGCUGUGGCUGUUUAAUCUGGGGAAGAGGAGGCUGAGGGGAGACUUUAUUACUCUCUUCCAGUACCUGAAAGGUGUUUACAGUGAGAGCGGGGUAGGUCUCUUCUCACUGGUGACAGGUGACAAGAGGAGGGGAAAUGGCCUCAAGUUGCACCAAGGUUUCCAGGGUAGGACUGAGCAGCUGCUCUGCUGCUGUCUGCUGCAUAAACACCAGAGAGGAUUGGAAGAAGAGUCAUAAAACCAACUGAGGAACAUCUUAUUCACCUAUGCAAAGGAUUGCCCAGCAGGGAAGGAGACCAUUCAACAGAUGGAAGCUGAGCUCUACUCUCAUUUUCUCUUUUAGGUGCUAUCCCACUAAGACUACUGACAAAUAACAGUGAAACAAGUCUGCAGUUUCACAAAAGCUCAUUUCACCAAGGACUGAAGAAGAAAGCAAGUUAGUAGCUAAGUCAUUAUUAAUUCCCUUUGGCUGCUACUAAACUCUGGCAUCAAUGAGAAGGAGCCAAGAAAAAUCCUUGGGAAUAGAGAAUGUCUGGUUACAGUCAUGAUGCAGGUGCCUAAUCUGUCACAUGAGAGUCCGAGACAAAAUUUAAAUGAUUGAACUCACUCGCUGAAAAACGAGACUUGAGAUUGCAAGUUAACUAUAAAAGCUCUACUACAAAAUUAACUACAAUCAGUGGGCCAUUGUAAGAAACAACAGCAGAAGAACGCAUUCAAAGGAAACUAUGCAUAUCAUUACCCUGAGUUGAUUUUCCUUUUGCUUUAGGGAUUCACUAAGUCAACUCUCUGCCUGCCUGAGUUAAUGACCAUUCAGCAGCUUAUCCCUCCAGCUGCUAAGACCUCUCAAACCUAGAAUUCCUUUUUGACUAUAGCUGGCCAACUGAUCCCCAGAAUUGUAGAAAUCAUUACAAUUUUCCAUAAUAUUUAACUUUAAAUGGUGCCUGGGCAGGAUUCCACCAGUUGCUGAUUCACCUGGAAGUAUUUUCUUCAUCUAUACUGAGUGGUUGGAAUUGGAGAGGGGCGAUGCUGUAAAGUCUACAGGACAUUAUAAUAAAGAC